rnacentral:rRNA from 1 species
AUACGUAGGGGGCGAGCGUUGUCCGGAAUGAUUGGGCGUAAAGGGCGCGUAGGCGGCCCGGUAAGUCUGGAGUGAAAGUCCUGCUUUUAAGGUGGGAAUUGCUUUGGAUACUGUCGGGCUUGAGUGCAGGAGAGGUAAGUGGAAUUCCCAGUGUAGCGGUGAAAUGCGUAGAGAUUGGGAGGAACACCAGUGGCGAAGGCGACUUACUGGACUGUAACUGACGCUGAGGCGCGAAAGUGUGGGGAGCAAACAGGAUUAGAUACCCUGGUAGUCCACACUGUAAACGAUGAAUGCUAGGUGUAGGGGGUAUCGACCCCUUCUGUGCCGCAGUAAACACAAUAAGCAUUCCGCCUGGGGAGUACGGCCGCAAGGUUGAGACUCAAAGGAAUUGACGGGG